rnacentral:rRNA from 1 species
AUUGAACGCUGGCGGCAGGCCUAAUACAUGCAAGUCGAACGAGUGGCGGACUGGCGAGCAAUGUCUGGGAAAUUGCUUGAUGGAGGGGGAUGAAUACUGGAAACGGUAGCCAAUACCGCACACCACGGGAUGUGUCCUGGUGGGAUUAGCUAGUAGGUGGGGUAAAGGUUCACCUAGGCGACGAUCCCUAGCUGGUCUGAGAGGAUGACCAGCCACACUGGAACUGAGACACGGUCCAGACUCCUACGGGAGGCAGCAGUGGGGAAUAUUGCACAAUGGGCGCAAGCCUGAUGCAGCCAUGCCGCGUGUAUGAAGAAGGCCUUCGGGUUGUAAAGUACUUUCAGCGGGGAGGCGUUACCCGCAGAAGAAGCACCGGCUAACUCCGUGCCAGCAGCCGCGGUAAUUC